rnacentral:lncRNA from 1 species
CAGCUUCAAAAAAGGAAAAAAUGCACAAAACAGAGGGAAAAUUCUGAAACCUCGGCUUAAUUUUUGAGAAGCAAUUUAAUAAGCUUGUGAUAAUGAAAUAAACUAGAUUAGAGUAUUUUGUGUGCAACAAUGACAGUUCAAAUUUUUCAUAUUUCAGCCUACAUAACCAUUGGAAGUGCUAAAGGGCAACUGGAUGCUCUUCCAGCUAUUUGUAGACAAUCCUUUAAGAAGCCUUCGCUAAAGCACGAUUUCAGUUUAAUCUGAUUUAAACAAUCAAAAAGGAGAUGAAAGGAAAAACAGAUUUCGUUAAGUUUUUUCCAGCCUGUUUGUUAAUUAGCAAGUGUUUGAGCUGUAGUCUGAUUGUUCCCACCCUGCUGUACUGUACCUCCUCUUCCCACUCACUCCUGCAGCCUAACUCUUGUUCUCCACCUUUUGGCACCAGCAUGAUUUCAAUGGCAGACUGAUCCCCCCUCUCUUACACACCCCCACUUCCAAUUCAUAUCUCUUGCCAUUACACACAUAAGCGAUAUGUCUACAAAGCACAAUGCAGCACUAUACACAGAUUAAUGAUGCACUCUGCCUGGGCUAAUAAAUACUGUUUCUCAGCAAGUGCAUUUCUCUUUCCUGCAUAAAUAAAACACUCAGCUUUCACUGCAGACCACACUGUCUGUCCAUAAGCUGAUGCUGUAAAAUGAAGCAGAAGACACUGGACUGAAGUAAAUGUAACCCCCAUUGACAUCUGGAUUUCCUCACUCAUAGAAAAGGAAAAAUAAUUGUCACAAUAGUAAAAAUUUUCUUUUGUAUGUAGAUUCCUCAUUUGUACUUGGAAAUAGAGACUCUAGAUCCCAAGCCAGUAGCAGAACCUAUGAGCAGUUAAUUUAUAUACAUCUAUGACAAAAUAUUUCCCAAUACUCUAUAAGAACAAUAGAAUAUCUCCCCCAACAGAUUUAUGUCCAUUUGCUAUAAUAUUUAUAUUGUUGCCAUCAAAGUGAACAGUCUGCAUGUGAGCAUUGCUGCAUAAAUUUCACAUACUCAUCACUAAAUUAACUUCAAAAUUCUACAGUUUCCUCAUUUUCUGCUGCCAUAAUUUUUUUGAUUGCUAUUAGAACACACGCAAUUUAUUAGCACGCACAAUGAAUAGUAGGGAAGCCUGUUUUGCAUAAAACCUUUGGCAAUAGACUGAAGACCUUUCCAGCCAUGCCUCUUUUAACAAAACUGAUGUCUUUAUUGGCACUCAGAAAAGUGUGCUGCAGUAGCAGCUGUCUUAAUCUACUGCAAUACCUGAUCUAGCCCUCAGCCAAAGCUCCUGACCUGAGUGGUGAGGAAACCUCAGCUACAGUUGAAGAACCUACACAACUUGCAGCAGCUCAUCCUGAGUUAGGUCUACAACGACCUAGCCACAUACCCUGAGCU